GAGAGAUAUACUGCGGGCUGUGGCGCAGGCUGGUGAGUAGCCAGCUGUCAGCUGCAACAAAUCACUCUGACUAAGAGGUCAUGAGUUCGAGGCCAGCUCGGAGCCUGCGUUUGUCUUUGUUCUAUGUUAAGGCAUUGAAUGUUUGCCUUAUAUGUGUAAUGUGAUCCACCCUGAGUCCCCUUCGGGGUGAGAAGAGCGGAAUAUAAAUACUGAAAAUAAAUAAAUAUUGUUGUGAAUUGGAUCACCCUCCUUUUAUGUACUAAGCCUGUAUGUAACCCAGUGUUGGGGGCGGCGGAGAGGUAUGUUUAAUUAAAAGGCUGCUGUAGAGAUUAAAUGAUAAACAGUGCCAUAAGGCCAGCCGACUAUUUUGACUUCAGAUUUAGUACUGUCCUUAAUUUAUCAUGCCAAGCAAGCCCAUCUGCAUAGACCCAUAAACAAAAAUGGAGAGUGCAAUAAAUAUGCCCUUACGUUUACCCAAAUGUUUAAAGUGGAACAUGCUUUUAUUGUCCUCUCAGGUCGCUAGUGAAGAUGAAUUAAUUUACUGCUGUAAAGUACUGUGAUGUUUUCGAAUGCAAAGUAUGCUGAAGAGAAAAAAAGGCUUCAAUGAAAAUAGCAAUUAAGGAAAGGGGGUUCCUGUUCCUCCCUUUGAUGUGUCUUUCCCAAUUUCACAUUCUCUCUGCCAUCAGUAUGCAUGAAAAAAGGUCCAUAAGAACUGCACAUGCCUGUUCCUUUUCAUGCCCGGACAGUACAGCUUUCAACCUGGUGUCCUCAUUAUUUUAAAUAGUGAUUCUGUGGGAGGAGGAAAUUUAUAUGUUUUCUGUUACCGUUCUCAGUUUUUCCUCUGGCUCUGCCAUUUGCUUGUUGAAAUUGGAUAAUUAUUACACAAUUCUGCUACACUGCCCAGCAACCAUGGGGAGGGGUUUCUACUCUGAUAUUUCCUCAGCCAAAAGCCAAUCAAAAAUACUUACAGUACUUACUUAAUUUAUAGUGAACGUUUCUUCUUUCCUGUAAGCUCAUGUAAACUUCACAUAAACGCAGGGCAGGGUACCUGGGAUUCUUAUUAGGGAAUGGAAACAUUUGCUUUUUCCAUCCUUCUCGCAAGAAUAAAUAAUUCAACAAUUUUCUCUAGGGAAAUAUAAAGAGUUUUGAAAGCCCUGUUCAUAUUUCAGGAAGAAAGGAAGAAGAAAAGGGAAGAAAGGUAGAAGAAAACAAGCAUGUUAGCGUAGUACAUUCAAAGCAUCCAAAUGACAUGACUGCUUGCACAGAAGAUGGGAAACCCCUGUCUCAGGCCCCUUCCACGUUGCCAUAUAAAAUCCAGAUUACUGUAUAUACUCGAGUACAGUAGAGUCUCACUUAUCCAACAUAAACGGGCCGGCAGAAUGUUGGAUAAGCGAAUAUGUUGGAUAAUAAGGAGGCAUUAAGGAAAAGCCUAUUAAACAUCAAAUUAGGUUAUGAUUUUACAAAUGAAGCACCAAAACAUCAUGUUAGACAACAAAUUUGGCAGAAAAAGUAGUUCAAUACGCAGUAAUGCUAUAUAGUAAUUACUGUAUUUAUGAAUUUAGCACCAAAAUAUCACUAUAUAUUGAACACAUUGACUACAAAAAUGCGUUGGAUAAUCCAGAAUGUUGGAUAAGCGAGUGUUGGAUAAGUGAGACUCUACUGUAUAAGCCUAGUUUUUCAGCCCUUUUUUAAAAACUGAAAAAGCCCCCCUCGGCUUAUACUCGGGUGAGGGUCCUGGUUGGCUUAUAUUUGGGUCAGAUUAUACUCGAGAAUAUAUGGUACAUUUAUUAUUUUUUUCUAUUAUUAUUGGUAUUAUUACAUUUAUUCUUUUUCUCUACUAUUGUUGCUACUAUUACAUUUAUUUUACUCUGUUAUUAUUAUUAUUACAUUUAUUAUUUCACUCUGAUCUUAUUAUUAUUGCAUUUACUAUUUUACUCUAUUUAUUAUUACUUGUAUUAUUUUCCUGUAUUUAUUAUUAUUAUUAUUACAUAUAUUAUUUUACUCUUAUUAUUAUUAAAAGGAUACUUAAGCACAUUUACAUUGAAGAAGAUGAGAAUAAUGAUUUGAACAGUCUUAUCUUAAAUUUGAGCUUUAUGUAAAUACAGUAGAGUUUCACUUAUCCAACACUCGCUUAUCCAACAUUCUGGAUUAUCCAACACAUUUUUGUAGUCAAUGUUUUCAAUACAUCAUGAUAUUUUGGUGCUAAAUUCGUAAAUACAGUAAUUACUACAUAGCAUUACUGCGUAUUGAACUACUUUUUCUGUCAAAUUUGUUGUAUAACAUGAUGUUUGGGUGCUUCAUUUGUAAAAUCAUAACCUAAUUCGAUGUUUAAUAGGCUUUUCCUUAAUCUCUCCUUAUUAUCCAACAUAUUCGCUUAUCCAACGUUCUGCCGGCCCGUUUACGUUGGAUAAGCGAGACUCUACUGUAUUCAAAAACAUUUAACCUACUGAUGCCGCAAUUAAUGUAAUUUUAUUGGUAUCUAUUUAUAUUUCUGAAAUUUACCACCCUCGUCUUAUACUGGAGUCAAUGUUUUCCCAGGUUUUUUUGUGGUAAAAUUAGGUGCCCCAGCUUAUAUUCAGGUCGGCUUAUACUCAAGUAUAUACGGUAUUUGCUUUGGAUAGGAUUAUAUGGCACUGUAGACCCACAUAAUCCAAUUCAAAACAGAUAAUGUGGAUUAUCUGCUUUGAUAAUCUGGAUUAUAUGGCAUUGCAGAAGUGCCUGAGAGUCUUAAAGUAAUGUGAACCAUAUUCAGAAACUGAGUCCAUUUUUUAACCUGAAGUUCUGAGCUAUUGUGAUUUGUAGUGAAAAGGGUUCAACGUUAGACAAUUAAUACAUAAUUAUUGCCUAUUUCUACAGUUGUGAAUCACUUACCAUGAUGGUGCCUGACUAUUACCACUGUCUGGAUUUGAAAUUUGGAUUACCAGUCCAAGGAGGUGCUCUGAUGAUAUUAAAAUAUUGUCAUGGGGCAGCAUGAAGGAAAGAUAUGUGUAUUUAUAGAACUGUUGCCCUGCUUUUGACCUGAGCAUCCUCAAAAUGGCCUACAGCAAUCAAUAGAAGCAAUGCAAUGUGUGAAAAUGCAAACAGUCAAAACCCACUAUAAAUCCUCAAAAAUAACAAUGCCAGUGGAUAAAAGAACCAGACAAAGUAUCUUAUAAAGCCACUAAAAACAAUAGUAAAAGGUAAAGGUUUCCCCUGACGUUACGUCCAGUCAUGUCUAACUCUGGGGGUUGGUGUUCAUCUCCAUUUCUAAGCAGAGACGGUGUUGUCCGUAGACACCUCCAAGGUCAUGUGACUGGCAUGACUGCAUGGAACGCCGUUACCUUCCCACCGGAGCGGUACCUAUUGAUCUACUCACAUUUGCAUGUUUUCGAACUGCUAGGUUGGCAGGAUCUGGAGCCAACAGUGGGCGCUCAAGCCAUUCCCGGGAUUUGAACCUGGGACCUUUCGGUCUGCAAGUUCAGCAGCUCAGCGCUUUAACACACUUUGCCACCGGGGUUCCUAACAAAAUAAUAGGCAGUGUGCUAAAUGAAUGGGUUUAGAGACAAAAAACUAUUCAUAACAUCGGUGUCACCUCUCUUUUUUGUAGUCACACGUCUGAUGUGUGACACCCAGCCACUUGCCCUGGAAAAAUGUGGAGUUCCUGGAAUGAUCUUCUUCUUUCCAAGCUAUUUUCCCAAUGGAGGGUUUAGCAAUAGCAUAGUGAGUGACAUUUCCACAGGCCUUUGUUUUGGGCAUCCUCAGGUCUCAGGUUGGCAGUGUCCAUCCAUCUUUUCUUUGGCCAUCCAUGUGGUCCUUGUCCUGCAAUCUCAAAACGUAGUGGUGUUUCUGCUACGGAUGUUGGUUCUCUCCUUAUGACAUGGCCGCACCACCAUAGUUUUGCUUCCUGCAUGUUUAUGUUUUUAUUCCUAGUCUUUGACGGAUGUCAUCAUUUGGCACAUGGUCAAGAAGUGUCAAGUGUCCAUCUCAGCAUUUUCAUUUCCAUUGUGUUAAGGGCUUGUUCCUGUUUCUUUGUUGCUGGACAGCACUCUGCCCUGUACUUGGCAAACAACUCUAGUGUGGAUAUUAGCCUUGAGUUAGUUGUUCAGGCAUUUUUGAGUCACACAGAAUGCCAGUUGUUUGCCGCUAUUUCAUCCAGGCUGCAUUCAACCAGGAAUUAGUUUGAGAAUUGGCCGUCUGCAAGGAUGUUGCCCAGGGGACGCCCGGAUGUUUUGAUGUUUUACCAUCCUUGUGGGAGGCUUCUCUCAUGUCCCCGCACGGAGCUGGAGCUGAUAGAGGGAGCUCAUCCGCGCUCUCCCCGGGUGGGAUUCGAACCUGGCAGCCUUCAGGUCAGCAACCCAACCUUCAAGUCACAAGGCUUUUAUCCCCUACGAAUUAGUGAAAUGAUCUCUAAUGAAAAUCUUUAGAUCACAUGACAAGAGAAUGUAUAAACAGUCAAUAGGAUCGUAAUGUCAGAAACAGAACUGUGAACUUGCUGGGAGUGUGAUUGGGUGCCAUUAUACAUUACGGAAAAAUGAGAACAAUACAUUCUGCUGCCCAUUCCAUUUCCAGUAACCGUAUCCUGGCACAGCUAAAGUCUUCAAGACCAUUUGCUGUUACGGUUCUUACACUGGUAUGUCAAGCUUCUAAAAACAACAUGAACUGCAUUUUCAGUUGCUGCAGUCUGACCUUAGGAUCCUGGCUUGGUUAAGAAAUAAUGAUGAUCAUCAAGGAUUUGCAUGUCUUAAUGGUUCUUGAUCAAGAUUUCAACCUGAAUUUUCAUGGGUAGCAGACUUGGGCCCCUUCUACACUGCCAUAUAAAACCCAGAUUAUCUGCUUUGAAUUGGAUUAUAUGACAGUGUAGCCCAGUGGUUCCCAAUUCAUGGGGUGCAGCCCAACAGUGGGUCACGAGAACAAAAAUCUGGUCUGCGAACCUCCUUUUUUAUUAUUUAUUUUAUUUCUGCUCCCUUCCACAGAGCUCACCAUUGCAUUGGAUAGACCACAUCAACUCUAGAUUAUUAAAUAUAGUUUUCUGUGGGUGAGCAGAUGGCGACUCCUAGAUGGCGUAUGUUCUGUAUCAGAAACUAAAGCUGAUGUGGUCUAUCCACUGCAGUUUUCUGAGUCAGCACCCCAAAGAACCAAACUGAAUCUAAAGUUGGCCAAAAACUGAUUUGUAACACUUUUGGUACUAAUGUUGGAGAGUGGUCCCUGGUCAAAUGGGCCUUGAUCAAGUGGGCUCUUAUUUUAAAAAGGUUGGGAACUACUGGUGUAAGCUCAUAUAAGAUACUAGCUGUGCCUGGCCACGCGUUGCUGUGGCGAAGUAUGGUGGUAUGGGAAAUAAAGUAUUGAGGAAUUGGUGGUAGUUAAGGUAAAGGGUUUUCCCCUGACAUUAAGUAAAGUUGUGUCUGACUCUGGGGGUUGGGGGUCAUCUCCAUUUCUAAGCUGAAGAGCCGGCGUUGUCCAUAGACUCCUCUAAGGUCAUGUGGCAUAACUGCAUGGAGUGUUGGUACCUUCCUGCCGGAGCAGUACCUAUUCAUGUACUCUCAUUUGCAUGUUUUUGAACUUUAGAGUUCACAGAAGCUGGGGCUAACAGUGGGGGCUCUCUCCGCUCCCCCAAUUCAAGCCUGCGACCUUUCGGUCCAGAAGUUCAGCAGCUCAGUGCUGAAUAUAAUAUAAGAUUAUAAAUGAGUUAUAUAGCUGUGUGGAAGGGCCUUGAGUCUACACUGCCAUAUAAUCAAGUUCAAAUCAGAUAAUCUGUAUUUUAUAGGCAGUGUGGAAGAGGCCUAGGUGAGGCCUAACUCUGCCUGUCCCCUGGGCUGAGUGGGUUGCUAGGAGACCAAGUGGGGAUUGCUUAGCUUUCUAACUGGCAGGAAUGGAUAAAACCAAUUAUUCCUCUCCCUCUAAUUAGGACUUUAUUUUUCUUUUCUUUUUGUUGUAUGAAUGUAGAGGCAUGGAUGAGAGGUUGUGCUGCCAAGUUUAGUGUUUCUGGGAUGUGUAGUUUUGUUGUUUUUUCCUAGGCCGAAGUUUCAUUACCCUUUUAUAUAUAUAGAUGAGCCUACUUCGUAACAGAUAAUGUGGGUAAUCUGCUUUGGUAAUCUGGAUUAAAUGGCAAUGUAGAAGGGGCCUAAGACUGCAGUCCUGCAGCCCCUUGACAGGGAGCAAGACCUACCGUGUUUCCCCGAAAAUAAGACAGUGUCUUAUAUUAAUUUUUGCUCCCAAAGAUGCGCUAGGUCUUAUUUUCAGGGGAUGUCUUAUUUUUCCAUGAAGAAGAAUUCACAUUUAUUAUUGAACCAAAAAAAUUGAACAUUUAUUAUGUACUGUACAGUAGUUAUCAUUACAAACCAGCACAACCAGACAAACUGUGAAUCCUAUCAAAAAUUUCUUGUUACUACCAUUAUUUCUAUGUACAACAAUCUAUUGUAUGUACAUUUACCGAUCCUGCAUGCUCUGGUGUUCUGUUCAGCGGGCAUGCUUCCAAACAAAAACGUUGCUAGGUCUUACUUUUGGGGGAGGUCUUAUAUUUAGUAAUUCAGCAAAACCUCUACUAGGUCUUAUUUUCUGGGGAUGUCUUAUUUUAGGGGAAACAGGAUAUUGGAGUCAUAGAAAUAUAUGAAAAAACAUGCAUAGGAUUGUGCUCUAUAGCUGUCACACAAAAAUCUCUGAUGGUGAAUGGAUCUAUAUCUUCACAAUAGCUUCCAAUCACCUAUCCAUGAUGCAUGCAUCAUAUGUGUAAAUGACCCUUCAUAAUGAUGCUAUCUAAAGGAUGAAAAACUUCAGUAGCACACCCCAAUCUCACUCAUCAUUUGGGAUUUGUGAAUGACAAGUGUUCUGGAGCAACACUUUGAUAGUGUCUGCUAUUUUCUACAGUUGCAAUAUGAACAGCUAAUCAUCAAUGAAACUGCCGGAACGAAAAGGUUCAAAUAAACACCAUCACUAUCAUCAUCUUCAUCAUAUCAAUUGGGUCCAGUUCCUACAGUGAUUCCCAGAUUGGUGCCAUCAACCAAGAAUGUCAGCCUAGUUUCAGUGUUCUGUUGUUAAAUGGAAGCCAGUUUAACAAGAGUUCAGGAAUCAAACAGAUUCCAAAUGCCUCUGGAGCUGCAGUGCUAUAUCUGUUUGCAAUCCUGCUCCCCAAAGAGAAGGAUGGAAAUGAGGCAGGAACAAGCUAAGGUAUCAGUCAUGACAUUUAGCUUUUAGUACGCAUCCAUGGAAACUGAGCAGCAUAUACAUUCAUUUGAGGGCAAAUCCCCAAAGGAAAUGCCAUUUGCUAGCCAUCCUUUUUUAUCAUCUUUUAUCUGCAGGUAACCAUUUAGCUAAAUACAAUAGUUUUGUUUCCUUUGUAUAUAAAAAAAGAGCGUUAUGUUCAGAGGGGAAAUUUGAAUCUUCUUGCUUGGGAGGGCAUUCCAUAUGGAUAUUGAUGACUAUCAAGUUUCUCUAUGAGAGUUCAAUCUAGUAAUAAUUUUACCUAGAGUGUGAUCUCUCUAUAUCUGCGGGACUGUCACCCACAGUUUCACCUACCUGCCUCCAACAAAAUAUGUCCUCUCAAGGAAAUUUCUGAUCCACCAAAAGAUUCAAUGGCAAUUGUCCACCAGACAUUACUGGGGGAUCUCGAAAAUUGCUGGAGAGGAUAUCUCUAUGAUAACCUGUGACAGAAGUUGUUCAUUUCAAUAGAGUUUGCUAUUAUCCAUGUUUUCCCAUUUCCAUGGUAAACUGAGGAAUGUGGAAUUGGGUGUCCUACUACAUGUUGCAUUAUUGCAUAUCCUACUACAAUAAUUCAAAAAAGUAAUAUAAUGAAUCUGCAUUGGUGCUCAUAUGUUUAAGUCACCUUGAGUCCCAGAUUUAGAAGAAGGGUGUAUAAAGAUCUUAAUAAAUAUAAUAAUAACUAUAGUAGUUGCCUCCUGCCAACCUAGCAGUUCGAAAACAUGCAAAUGUGAGUAGAUCAAUAGGUACCGCUCCGGCGGGAAGGUAAUGGCGCUCCAUGCAGUCAUGCCGGCCACAUGACCUUGGAGGUGUCUACGGACAACGCCGGCUCUUCGGCUUAGAAAUGGAGAUGAGCACCAACCCCCAGAGUUAGACAUGACUGGACUUAACGUCAGGGCAAACCUUUACCUUUUUAUAGUAGUUGCAGUAAAAAUAAGAGGUUAUUUAAUAUUUCAAGACAAAAAAAAAACCUUCACAGUUUAAUAGAGGUGUCUGUAGAACUGGCCAGCUUGUUAGGAUCACUGAAAAAUAAAGUAGUUUUGUCUUGAUGAACGUUCAAAUUACCCUCAGCAUGCUUCGCAAGGAUGUAUUCGAUACACUGUUAUACUAGAAAAGCUGGUCAAUAUUAUUGUUAAGUACAGAUACAUUUAUAUUCCAGGACUACCAAGAAGUUGUUUUUGAUUGAAAGUCAUACAGAGUGGCUAGCUUUCCAGUCUUAAUCAAAUCACAGAUUUCUACAGCAGAAUUUUGGUUUUACAACCAAAAUAUUUGUAUAUUGCAUUACCUUAUUCACAAUAUACAUUGUAGGUACAUCAAUUCUUAGAAUUGCAAGAUGGAAAGAAAUCUGAAUUUUAUUAGUAGUCCUCACAAGGGUGUGUGUAUAAAUCUCGAAGCUAUCCGUCAACAUUUGGUGACCCUGUGAAUUUCAAAGGGUUUUCUUAUGUAAGGAGUAGUCAGACCUGAUUUUGCUUCUUCCUUCCUCUGAAUUAUACAGCAGGGCUUCUUAAACUGUGACCUCUUUUUGUCCAAGAAAUUUUAAUGUGAUAUAAAAAUAGAUAUAUAUAGGAUGGCUAAAUCCAUGGACGGGGGCCCCUGAUGGCACAGUGCGUUAAAGCGCUGAGCUGCUGAACUUGUGGACCAAAAAGUGCCAGGUUCAAAUCCCGGGAGCGGAAUGAGCGCCUGCUGUUAGCCCCAGCUCCUGCCAACCUAGCAGUUAGAAAACAUGCAAAUGUGAGUAGAUCAAUAGGUACCGCUCCGUCGGGAAGGUAACGGUGCUCCAUGCCAUCCACAUGACCUUGGAGGUGUCUACGGACAAUGCCGGCUCUUCGGCUUAGAAAUGGAGAUGAGCACCAACCCCCAGAGUCAGUCACAACUGGACUUAACGUCAGGGGAAAACCUUACCUUACUAAAUCCAUGGACACGGAGGCCCAACUGUACCACAGCAAUAACAAUCAGUGCAUGCCUAAGUCCCAAGUACAGUAGAGUCUCACUUAUCCAACAUUAGCUUAUCCAACGUUCUGGAUUAUCCAACGCAUUUUUGUAGUCAAUGUUUUCAAUACAUCAUGAUAUUUUGGUGCUAAAUUCGUAAAUACAGUAAUUACUACAUAGCAUUACCUCAUAUUGAACUACUUUUUCUGUCAAAUUUGUUGUAUAACAUGAUGUUUUGGUGCUUAAUUUGUAAAAUCAUAACCUAAUUUGAUGUUUAAUAGGCUUCUUCUUAAUCUCUCCCUAUUAUUCAACAUACUCGCUUAUCCAACAUUCUGCCGGCCCGUUUAUGUUGGAUAAGUGAGACUCUACUGUGCAAAAAAAUCAAACCCCUUAAAUAAAAUACAGUGACCCCUCAGUGUCCACUAGGGUUUGGUUUGCUAGUGGAUAUUCCCGAUGUGGAUACCAAAACCAAUGGAUGCUCAACUCCCAUAAUACACAAAUAUGUAGUAAAAUGGUGUCUAUUAUAUAAAAUGGUAAAGUCCAUUAGCACUCUUCACCAUUUGGCUUGUAGUGAUGGAAGUCACAGUCCAACAACAUCUGGUAGGCCAUACUUUAUCCAUUUCUGGGCUAGAUCCAAUGUUAGUCCUACCUAGAGGAGACCCAUUUGAAAUCAACUAGGGUUAGGUUAGUUGUCAUUAGGUUGAGAUUAAAUUAAUUAUCUUAUUAAUUUAACUGGUUCUACUUUAAGAACCAAGAUUGGGUUCAGUCCAUUAUUCUUUAAACAUAUUUAAACAUAUCUAUUGAAUGUUGACAAAGAAAAAAAAACCCCUAAAACCUCACUAUAAUAAAGGAGAAAAAUAGUUGUUCUUGGUGCUGUGACAGAGCCAGAAAUGUUUGAUUACAGUCAUGAUUGCAGUAGGACACAAACUUGAGUGCACAAAUAUUUCUGAGAAUAUCUUCAUACAUCUAUGAGAACCUCAUUUUCCAUAUUUUUACAAAUCCAUAUCAUGCCCUUGAACCACAUGUACAGGUCAUGUAUCAAUCAUGUUAAUACAGUUCCCAGUGGUGACAAAAUGAUUGUUAUUGUGUUUGACUUUUAAAAAACAUAUUUCAGUGAUGGAGUAGCUUUAGAUAACAGUGCUUAAAUGCAAUGCCUUUACUUCUCCCUAGGCAAAAUGUGAUAUACAAACCCAUAAGCCAUCACUAUCCACCAGUAGCUCGUAUUAUGCCAUGGUAUUUUAUUCAAUGCUAUAUAGAGAAAGACAAGGAUGAAUAUCACAAGAAGUUCACAGUGUGACAUUGUUCAUACAGAACUAUUCAUGGGCAGUAAGGUUAUGCCAGUCAGUCUUUACUAAUUGGCUAGGCAUGUUACUUGCUAUAUUUUCUCACUAUUACUACUAGAUUCCAAAUCAGUGGGUUGUUGAAUGCAGUCUGACUUUAGUCCAGGGUUUGCAAACCACUAAACUUUAUGCCUAAACUAAAGUGAUAUGCUUGGACAGAUUCUUUUGGCAUUUAGAAUAAAUUGAAUUAAUCAUUUCACUGGCAUGGAAACCAAUUAGACGUCCUUGUUGCAGCCUCACUUGCUGGCAGGAAGAUAGAAAUGUUGUCUUUCUUAUGCCCUGGUCAGCAGCUAAACAAACUUCUUUGUGCCAUCCAGUCUCUGCAACUUUAGGAGGAUAGGUGGAGAUAAACCAUUAAGUUACAGCUCCAUAAGUACACUGCCAAUCUCAGAUUCCAGUUAUCAUUUUGUCUGUUUAGGCCUAGCUUCACAUACUUCAGAUUUUCUGGAGUUCCCAUUGCUACUAAUUGGGUCUGUACGAAUUGUGAAGCUGAAACAGACUCCAGCUUCUCCAUUCUACAUUUCUCCUCUGCGGAUGUCUGUGUCUCCAUUCGAAUACAGACUUUUAGUGGAGGAGAAUCAUGGUCUGUAGACAAGUUGUCUCACUGCCCACAUUUUCCAACGUGCCAUUAUGAGUGUUUAUGGUUUUUCUGAAAAGAUGCAAUUUUGGUGAAUGUAUUCCUUAAUUGUAUAAGGACAUUUAGGAAAACGGGAAAGUGGUCAUUUCAUGAUCAAGAGACCUUAUUGAAAGAAAAAAUGAGAAUUACAUUGUGACUCCAAGAUGUUAUUUUUAGGAUUUUAGGAUGAUAGCCAUGUAUAAAUAUGUGAGGAGAAGUCAUAGGGAGGAUGAAGCAAGCUUGUUUUUACUGUCCUUGAGACUAGGAUGCGGAACAAUGGCUUCAAACUACAGGAAAGGAGAUUCCACGCGAACAUUAGGAAGAACUUCCUAACUGUGGGAACUGUUCAGCAGUGGAACUCUCUGCUCUGAACUGUGGUGGAGGCUCUUUCUUUGAUAACCAUCUCUUGGGGAUGUUUUGAAUGUGAUUUUCCUGCUUCUUGGCAGGAGGUUGGACUGGAUAGCCCAUGAAGUCUCUUCCAACUCUAUGAUUCUAUGAUUCUAGCGAGCAAGCAGUGGUGGGUUCUAUAUCAGUGAGAUGAUGAAUCCAUUUGUGGUCUGAGUUCACAGUUUAAGGAACUUUCCAAGAUCCUAAACCCAUUUUAUGGAUGCAACAUCUGGUCAGAUAAUAAAAAUACUAAUGUUAGUAUUGAAUAAGUAGUAAUGUUAGAUGAAUAAGUAUUAGUACUUUAUGCUUAGUUAAUAAAAUCCCUCCCUAUUCCAACCUAAAGCCUGGCUUCAGUAGAACCUAUAAUUUUGGGCAGAGCAGAACAGAAAGUUUACUAUUUUAAUCUUUGAGGUUACAGUCAUACUUGGAUGGAAUUCAGAAGCCCCACAUCCCCUAAAUCAGGGGUCUCCAAACUUUUUAAACAGGGGGCCAGUUCAGACUGUUGGAGGGCCGGACUAUAGUUUUUUAAGUGAUAUUAUAAUAUAUUUUAUAUUAUGUAUUAAAUUUUAUAUAAUAUAUGAUACAUUAUUUAUAUUAUAUUAAAAUCUAUACAUUAUCUAUGUAUUUUAGUAUUGUAUAUUGCAUUAUAUUUUGUUCAUAUAAUAUUUAUUGUGAACCAUAUAUUGCAUUAUAUUGAAAUAUAUAAUAUAUAAUAUAUAAUAGAAUGCAUAAUAUAUAUAUCAUGUGUUGUAAUAUAAUAAUACAGUAGAGUCUCACUUAUCCAAGCUAAACGGGCCGGCAGAAGCUUGGAUAAGCGAAUAUCUUUGAUAAUAAGGAGGGAUUAAGGAAAAGCCUAUUAAACAUCAAAUUAGGUUAUGAUUUUACAAAUUAAGCACCAAAACAUGAUGUUAUACAACAAAUUUGACAGAAAAAGUAGUUCAAUACACAGUAAUGUUAUGCUGUAAUUACUGUAUUUACAAAUUUAGCACCAAAAUAUCACGAUAUAUUGAAAACAUUGACUACAAAAAUGCCUUGGAUAAUCCAGAAGCUUGGAUAAGCGAGGCUUGGAUAAGUGAGACUCUACUGUACAUGUGUUAUUACAUUGCAUUGUAUUAAAAUAUAUUAUGUACUUUAUAAUGCAAUGCACAACAUGUAAUACAAUACGUAAGAUAUAAUAUAUCAUAUUUGCGUUAUUACAUUGCAUUGUAUUAAAAUAUAUUAUUAUAUAAUGAGAGGAUUCAUCUUUUGUCACACUGUUUUCCAGUUUCCAGCCACAAAGUUGGAACUGCAUUCCAAAGUGCACUCUCUUGCAGCCAUGUUUCUCUAUGCAAAUGUGUUUAGGAUUGAUGGUUAAAACUACUUUCCAUUUUCAGCCUCUCAACCUCUCUCUCAUUCUCACUUUGUCCUUUCAUUUUGACUGUUUUUUAAGCAACCUGCUAUUAAAUCUCCCCCUCCCCUCCCCCAAAUCUUUCUUGUGGACUAAAUAUAUCUAAACCUUUGUCAGUCAUUGAUUUUGAAGUCUAAUUGCACUAUUUCAUUCCUGUUCUAAGAACAAUGAGGGAAAAUGGUAUGCCAUUCCUGUGAUGGACUGGGUGACAUUCCUGGCUGCAUUCAAAGUGCACCAUAUGUUCCUCAUCCCUUCGAUACACACAAUGUUGAUCUGAAAUUCAUCCAUCUGAAUAGAAACUGGAGUUUUAAUCCAGGUUUUCUUCCUUGAGCUUCUGCGGGAGGUGGGACAAGCAAAAAACCUACAUCUGAAAAAUCAACCAUAUCUGGUUGGACUCUAAUACACACCAGUCCCAACCACCAAGCCUAGUGGUUAUCAGUGGUGGGAACUUUUUAACACAACUAAAGAUUAUCUAGGGCCCCUGGUGGUGGUGCAGUGUGUUCAAGCGCUGAGCUGCUGAACUUGCAGACCGAAAGGUCCCAGGUUCAAAUCCCAGGAGCGGAAUGACCGCCCGCUGUUAGCCCCAGCUCCUGCCAACCUAGCAGUUCGAAGACAUGCAAAUGUGAGUAGAUCAAUAGAUACCACUCCGUCGGGAAGGUAAGGGCGCUCCAUGCAGUCAUGCCGGCCACAUGACCUUGGACGUGUCUACGGACAACGCCGACUCUUCGGCUUAGAAAUGGAGAUGAGCACCAACCCCCAGAGUCGGUCACGACUGGACACGUCAGGGGAAAACCUUUACCUUUAAAGGUUAUCUGUUUUAACUGUGAAGAUGAGAUUCAUUUUAAAGAACUAGAAUGUGGGAGAAAAUUGUAAUAAACUAUUACUGCAUGACUUAAUUAUUAUUAUUCUUGGUAUAGUGUUUGAUGUGUGCUCAGAAUGAAGGCUGAACUACCUUGGGCAAGGACCUAGUGAUGGAUGCAAGCCAGUCCCAGGUGAUGUAGUGCAUUUGUCAACAGGAAUAAAUGCACGAUACUCCACUUAGGCAGAAAAAAUGAAAUGCAAAAUUACAGAAUGGGGGAUGCCUGGCUCAACAGAAGUAUAUGUGAAAAAGAUCUUUCACCAAACGCAGCGCACAAACACGAGUCAAAGAACAUGAAAGGCACUGCAGACUAAUUCAACCAGAGAAAUCAGCCAUAGCAGAGCACUUGAUGAACCAGCCUGGACACAGUAUAUUAUUUGAGAACACAGAAAUGCUUGACCACUCCAACAACUAUCAUGUCCGACUACACAGAGAAGCCAUUGAAAUCCACAAGCAUGUGGACAACUUCAACAGAAAGGAGGAAACCGUGAAAAUGAACAAAAUCUGGCUACCAGUAUUUAAAAAAAACCCUCAAAAAUCAAAACAAUAGAUGGAAAGCAACACUCUGAGGGCAGAGGAGCCCCAAGGACGGCUAAGGACUCUUAACAAAGGAUGCCCCCCUGGCAAGAGACAAACCUUUCCAAUGCUAAUUAGGGUGAUUAACUGAAACAUUAACACUGGCUUCCAACUGACAAAGGACUUUUGUCACACCCUGGACUCUCCACAGAUAUAUAUUUUUUCCUUCCUUGCCCAGUUUAUCCAUGCCUCACAGCCUCUGAGGAUGCCUGCCAUAGAUGUGGGUGAAACGUCAGGAGAGAAUACUUCUGGAACAUGACCACACAGCCCGAAAGACAUACAACAACCCUGAGAUCUUUCACAUCUUUUUCACAAGUUAAACAUGAGCCAACAAUGCGAUGCGGCAGCUAAAAAGCCAAUGGGAUUUUGGCCUGCAUAAAUAGUCAGGGAAGUCAUUGGUCAGGCCACACCUGGAAUACUAUGUCCAAUUCUAGGCACCACAAUUUAAGGGAGAUAUUGACAAGCUGGAAUGUGUCCAGAGGAGAGCAACUAAAAUGAUCGAGGGUCUGGAGAACAAGCCCUAUGAGAAGCGUCUUAAAGACCUGGGCAUGUUUAGCCUGCAGAAAAGAAGGCUGAGAGGAGACAUGAUGGCCAUGUAUAAAUAUGUGAGGAGAAGUCAUAGGGAGGAGGGAGCAAGCUUGUUUUCUGCUGCCCUGCAGACUAGGACGCAUAACAACGGCUUCAAACUUCAGGAAAGGAGAUUCCACCUGAACAUUAGGAGGAACUUCCUAACUGUUAAACAAUGGAACUCUCUACCCCAGAGUGUGUUGGAAGCUCCUUCCUUGGAGGCUUUUAAACAGAGGCUGGAUAAUAAUCUGUCAAGGGUGCGUUGAAUGCGAUUUUCCUGCUUCUUGCAGGGGGUUGAACUGGAUGGUCCACAAGGUCAUUUCCAACUCUAUGAUUCUAGUGAGCAAGAAGUGGUGGGUUCCAUAUCAGUGAGAUGAUUAAUCCAAGUUCCCACUUAAGGAGCUAUCCAAAAUUCUGAACCUAUUUUGUGGAUGUAGCAUCUGGGAUAACUCCAUUAAGAUUUGGACUAAAGCCUAGAGGACAUUCCUUAAUCCACUGAUAUGGGAGCCACCAUACUGGAUCAAAGUGGAGACCUAUACUGUCUCCAAAUCUUUCAGCUGAUUCUUGUUGUCCUUAUGUGUCUUCAAGAUGUUUCUACUUACGGUUACAUUAUGAUAGUUUUCUUGGCAAGCCUUUGGCAUUGUCUUCUUCUAAGGCAGAGAGAAUGUGACUGACCCAAGCUCAUCUGGUGAGUUUCCAGGGCAAAGCAAAGAUUUGAACCCUGGUCUCCCUGAAAGGUGCCACAUUGCAUGGGACCUACUUUAAGCUGAUAUGCAUGAAAAGAAACAGUAAAAAAGCCUUCUGGGUUCAGUUUUAGUUCAUAGGCUAGAACAAUUUACAUUUCACAGAACUAUGUCUAAGAAUGGAACAAUGCAGUCUAGGAGAUCUUUGCUUCAGAUCUCAUCUCACCUCCACACUAUACACAUGUACAAUCUCACUGUGGGGAUAAAAGUACUGAUCGACCUUCUCUUACAAAGCUUUAUAGGGAUCACUAAGGUAAGUGAAGUGGAAAACUGACUUAAUAAAUAAAUAAUGAUACAUGAGACAUUUUGAACUGGAACUGAACUAAAAUUCCUCAGAAACCAUUUAUCCCCCUGAGGAAAUGUCUGUUAUUCUUUUUCCUUUUUAUGACCUCAGCUCCCACAAAAAGGAGAUUAUUUUACAUAAUAGUCUUCAGAUAUUCUUCUCUAUUUUCGGUGAUGGCCUCCAUUCAGCUCUUCCCUCCCCUUCCUUCAUCAUAAUGUUCCAGAAUACUAGGAUGGAGCCAUGAUGGAGGAUGCAAUGUUGUCACUAGGGGUUGUGCGAGGUGCAAACUCUCCAAGGUGAUACCAUCAUUUGCUGCUGAUAGUCAGCAAAUUACUAUUUUAAAAACUUGGUCAGUGUUUCGGUGUGUAUACUCCCUGCUGUUACAGUGUUCCCUCACUUAUUGCUGGGGUUAGGUUCCAGGAUCACUCACAAUAAGUGAAAAUCCAUGAAGUAGGGACGCUAUAUUUAUUUUAAUAUUUAUACAUUAUUUUAGUAGUUAUACACUAUUUUAAGUCUUUAUCAACCAAUUGUGUGUUGAUAAAUAGCCUCCUUCUCCUCCUGUUGCCACUUGGGCUCCUUUUCUCUCUCUUUGGCUUCUCCUUCCACCCUUCCUUAGGCUGUAAAUUGUAAUUUUUUAUGAUUUAUAAUAUUGUUUUAGAGUUUAUUGAAAAACCGCAAAACAGCGAAUCUGCGAAAAGUGAACCACGAAGUAAUGAGGGAACACUGUAUAUAUAAAACACAAAUAUCUUCUUUGUAAGUGCGGCUUAUAUGUACUGUAUCAAUAUAUCUACAAAACUAAAACUCUAAGCUAAUUUAUAUUUUGAAUAUUCUAAUGUACAUAUGCUCCAAAGAGAGUUGUCAUUUUUACCCAAUUAUAAUGAUGCUUGAAAUAGUGUAGUAUAGUCUGCGUGCCCUAUAAGCACAUACUGUUUCAGUUGCUCCUGGUUUUCAUAAUAGCUAGUUUAGCUGUAUUUUCUGGUAUUUUCACUACUAUACUGUAAUAUGAUCUGGUAUUAGGAGGAGGUUCAUGGUGGUGACACCAACUCUAUUUUUUUUCGUGCCAGGAGCAACUUGAGUUGCUUCUGGAGUGAGAGAAUUGGCUGUCUGCAAGGACGUUGCCCAGGGGAUGCCUGGAUGUUUUGAUGUUUUUACCAUCCUUGUGGGAGGCUUCUCUCAUGUCCCCGCAUGGAGCUGGAGCUGAUAGAGGGAGCUCAUCCGCCCUCUCCCCGGGUGGGAUUUGAACCUGGCAGCUUUCAGGUCAGCAACCCAACCUUCAAGUCACUUAGUCCACUAUUACCAUCUGGAGGCUCCCCCAACUCUAAUGAUGUGACUGGGAGGAUACAAAAUCAUGGCCAGUCUACCACCACACUGGCUACAGUUGGUGGUUCCAAACAAAACUUGGGUGGGAGGGGGGCAUAGCGGUUGUACUAUUGUCUCUUGCUAAAUAUGAUGGCCCUACUCUAAAUAGACUUUUAGAAAAUAUCUCUCCACCCCAAGGAAAAACAGUGAAGAAAUAUAACCAGGUGGUAUAGUAAGUCUACAAAUAGAGUGAGCCUGUUGAGAAACCAUUUGUACAGAUAGCAAGUGUCAUAUCGACUAUCAAGUAAAUAUAAUUAUGAUUACUACUUAGUGUUGCUGCUCAGCAUCACUUGCUUUCUAUUGUUUGUUAUGAAUGCACAAAAACUUGGAAAUGUACUUUAUAAAAACAACAGUUCCAUUUAUAAUUCCAAACCUCAAAAAGGUAGACAAUUACCAUUUUAGGACCUUAUCAGACAGGCAGGGGCAAAACAACGGUCAGCGGAGGAAACUGCGGGGCAGCGAAGGGAACCGCCAGGCUCUGCUCACUCCCAGUGGGUUCCAUGAUCUUUCUUUCCAUGUAGUUUCCUCAUCUGUCCCUGUUUCUUCUUCAGUUCCCCUUCAAUGAGUUAGGUGUAUACCUGACUCCUCUGGGCUCCACUGUCACAAUGCUGCUACAAUGGAGCUCCGCGGAUUCCCAUUGGAAUCUCUACGCCAUGUGAUGGGCUCUGUGGGACUGUUCUGGCAGCAGAGAGAAGCAGAGCUUCUGAUAAGGUCCAUAGUUUCAGGCUUAUCGGGGGGGGGGGGGGGGAAUAAUGGCCAACACACCUUCAUCUCAAAGGCUGGGUCUACACUACCAUGUAAUCCAGUUUCUGAAUCCAGAUUAUCUGCUUUGAACCGGAUUAUAUGAAUCUACACUGUCAUGUAAUCGAGUUCAAAGUAGAUAGUAAAGGUAAUGGUUUCCCCUGACGUUAAGUCCAGUCAUAUCUGACUCUGGGGUGUGGUGCUCAUCUCCAUUUCUAAGUCGAAGAGCCGGUGUUGUCUGUAGACACCUCCAAGGUCAUGUGGCUGGCAUGACUGCAUGGAGCACCAUUACCUUCCUGCCGGAGCGGUACCUAUUGAUCUACUCACAUUGGCAUGUUUUCGAACUGCUAGGUUGGCAGGAGCUGGAGCAAACAGCGGCCGCUUCCACCGCUCCUGGGGUUUGAACCUGGGACCUUUCGGUCUGCAGCUCAGCGCUUUAACGCACUUCGCCACCGGGGCUCCUGAAGUAGAUAAUAUGGAUUCAGAAACUGCAUUAAAUGGGCGUGUAAAUGAGGCCAAAGAUAAUUAAAAUCUUGCCCUUGUUUGAUGUUGUUGCGUACCUUCAAGUCAUGGCAUUUCAUGGUGACCCUAAGGCAAACCUAUCAUGGGAUAUUUUGGGGCUAAAGUUAUGUGACUAGCCUAAGUUCCUGUAGUGUAGGAUCGAACCUUGGCUUUUGGAGUUGUACUCCAGUGCCCAAACCACUAUAUAUCUAAAAUAAUCUUAAUGCUUCAAGUUAGUUGCUUUGUGAUAUAAAAUGCAUGCUCAUCUACAUCGUUUCAACAUCUUAACACUAACCACAGAGGGAAGCAUUAGACACAGCAUGAGCCAGCACUAGAAGCAGAUGUCAUUCCUUCUCCACCAAACAUCCCAGAACUAUAAAAGUAACUACAAUUACAUUUCUACUACAAAAAUACUGAUGUUACCCUUAUUCCUCAUCAGUGAUGAAACAAUUUAGUUAUAGGGUUGUUGUAUGUCUUUCGGGCUGUGUGGCCAUGUUCCAGAAGUAUUCUCUCCUGACGUUUUGCCCACAUCUAUGGCAGGCAUCCUCAGAGGUUGUGAGGUAUGGAGGUAUGGUUGUGAGGUAUCCAUACCUCACAACCUCUCAGGAUGCCUGCCAUAGAUGUGGGCGAAACGUCAGGAGAGAAUACUUCUGGAACAUGACCACACAGCCCAAAAGACAUACAACAACCCUGUGAUCCCAGCCAUGAAAGCCUUCCACAACACAAUUUAGUUAUAUUUUCAUUGUUGGGUUGACCUUGUGCAAGUUGUAUUCAUCCUCAGAUGAAGACAAAGGCAAAAACUCAGAAUAAAUCUUUGCCAAGAAGAUCCCAUGAUAGGUUCACCUUAGGGUCAGAAAUGAGUCGAAGACACAUAACUGAUGAUUACAACAACAAUAACAGCAAACCUGAGCCCUAAAGUUUGGCAGCAGGAUAGCUUUUAUAACCAAAAGGGGAGAAAAAACCUCAUCCAGCUCAGACGAAUGUUAUCCUUGACUGCUCUAUAUUAUCAACAUGACCUAGGACGAUAAAAGCUUUUACAGUGAUCAUAUGAUAUGAGCAAUAGCUUGUAUGGGACAAGUUUCCUCGUGCAGAAUAGCUAUUGUUCAAUCACAUUCAUGGCCUUUGUUUGUAAAGCCAAGGACCGCAUUGUUCUACUCCAGCUUCAGAAAUGGAUGUCAUUUACUGAACAUUACGUCUGAUCAAUAUAACAAGCAAGCAGAGAUUUGCAAGGAGAAUAUAAUGGAUGUAUCUUGUAUCUCAGCCUAUAUGCCCCUUUUUGAGUGGGUUAGCAGCCUAGACUCAAGGAGACAGAAAGUGAUGUGGAACAAUAAAGGAACAAACCUUGAGUUACAAAGUCAGCCAAAAACAACACUUUAAAUUUGCCAGGCUGUCAAAUAGCAUAUAGCAGACCAAAAAUGAAAUACUGUUUGACCCCAAAUUUGGUUUUGCAUCCCCUAACAAACAUGCUUGCUAGACUACCCUUUUUUCUAGUGAAAGAAAAAGAGAGAGGGGGGGAGGGAGAAAGGUAUUUUUUGAAAGCCUUCUGGAGAAAUGAUUCAAUUUUUAAUUAUACACCCUCCUGUAAUUGCAGAACUGGUUUCACCUAUUUGCAUUCAACAAAAUAUGUCCUUGCUAGGAAUUUUCUAGGUUCUCCAAAGUGACUCUAUGGUAACUUCUAACCUAUGGUAAUGCAUGCAUUGGUCCUUUUUUGGAUUUUUUAGAACAGUGCUGUCCAACCUGUGGUUUUCCAGAUGUUUUGAACUUCAGCUCCCAGAAGUCUUGACCACUGGGCAAGCUAAACCAGGCUUCUAGGAGUUGGGGGCCCAGACACUUGGAGGACCAAAGGUUGUGGACCACUGUCUUAGAAGGAAGUAUUCGCUAUCUUCUUGUUCAUCAUCCAAUGCCAUCUCCACUUCAAGCAGACUUCAAAGAUCAGGAGCACACUGCUAUGGCCAUGGCCUGGUGGAGAGUGGGGGACUCAUACAGUGUGGAUCCCCAGCUGCAGUUUGACUGCUGGGAGAAAAUAAGUGGACAAACCCUCCCGGAUCUCAGAAAAUUGCUGAAUAUUUAUGAGGGCGACCUCAGCUCUGCAGCUAAGAUUUUCUUGAGUGCUCACCCAUCCAUAUCCCUCCUGAACAAUACAGUGUUGGGAAGUUGCUUUCUGAAGGUUAACUGUGGACGAAAUGUGAAGUCUCUGCCUUCUGGAUAUAGGAGUGCAUAUGUGUGUAUAGGGAAAAAAAACAGGAACCAAAAUAUAGACAUAAAUCCACAAACACGAAUUCAGUAACUUCUUUUAAAAUAUGAAUCCAUGAACAUGAGUAUCAGACUUUCCCAAAGAUCAUAAACAUAGACGUGGAAUAAGACCCAAGAUCCACAUAGUAAUGCAGCAUUGCCUGAUCUGGCCCUCAAGUAAACAAUCCCUUAAUUUAAGGACCCACAAAGCCAGGAAGAUGCCUUUGAUAUCUGCUCUGUUGUUUCAAGGAUUUCUAACACUGUUGUUUGGAUUUUUCACUCUGUAUGUUUCACACACAUUCUCUGUGACCCCUGUAAUCUGGCUCCCUCCUCUCAGAGGCCGAGUUUCAAACUUCUAUUAACUUCAGAUAUGUUCCCAGGGGAACGAUCUCUCCCUUCCAGCUCCUUACCUAGAGUUGCUAAGGAAUUACUAGGGGAAAGGUCCUCCCUAUCGUCCAAUGCCAUAGCAUCUUCCUGCCUGCUCUGCUCUGCAGCUGUUUCACUUUCACUAGACACAGACCCAUUAUCCGAAGCAGAAUUCUGAACUAAAAUCCCCUCAUUUCCCUCAUUGGAAAACCCGUCAGUUCUCACAACCUCUGAUAAUACAAUCCCCCCCGCCCCCUGUCUUCAGCUUCUGGCUUAACUAUAGCAUUUAGAUUGAAAUCUUAAAAAGACAGGACACACAAUGAAAAAGAGAUGCCAGUGAGGAAGGGGAUUUAAUCUAGCAGAUACUGGCUGCUCUUCUUAGGAGGCCACAGUUGGACUGUGCCAUAGCUGUCUGCAAGUAAAUACAAGUAAAAAUUUUAUUUCCCUACUUACUAGGUUGAUGAGAUAGGAGGUGUUUCUGGGGAAGAGAGAAAGCAGAGGUUGGAUGGCCAUCUGUCGGGGGUGUUUUGAACGUGAUUUUCCUGCAUCUUGGCAGGGGGUUGGACUGGAUAGCCCAUGAGGUCUCAUCCAACUCUAUGAUUCUAUGUGGUUACUUUAAGCGGAUAUGAUCAAAAAUUAAUAAAAGAUAACAGAUAUGCAUGAUGGUAUGUUAGAAGAUCUGGAAGGCUAAAUCCUCUCUUUUCAAUUGGAAUUUGCAUCUUUUUCAUUGAAAUUCUGGGAGGAGAUGAGCUCUCCAAAAUUUCUCCUGAACCAUACCUCUACGGCACAACUACACACCGUAAAAAACAUGCGCCCUUCUGGUUUUUUACAUGGGGCAUCCAAACAACAUCCCAUGUAAAAAGAAUUCCUUUGGAACAAAGCAGGGAAACCCUGCUUUGUCCCAAAGUAAUUUGAUAGUGGAUUACAUCCCGGUCUUCCUAAAGACCUGGGUCUAACCCACUAUGGCCGCUGUCUAGACGGCCUUCUCUUGUUUUCUGGGCGGAAUCAGAGCUCUAAACCCUUCCCCAAAACCACCCCAAAAAGGGCUUUAAAAAUAAAAUUACUUACCUGACCACCAUUAAACUUUUGCCAGCCCUCUCCUGGCACAUUGAAAUGAUGAUCCAGGAGAGGAGGGAGGAAAAUUGCUUCUGCCCCCCCCCCCCUUCUUCUCCUGGCGUGUCAUUUCUACAUGCCAGGAGAGGAUCGGCACUAGGGUAAUGCCGGCCGGGUAAGUAAUUUUCAUUUUUAAGGCUUUUCUGGGGGGUUUCUUUUGGUGUCUGGGUGCCCUGCUGGAAAGUCCGGCAGAGCAUCUGGACACACACGCAUACCACACCUCGGAAAGUGCAGGUUUUUGUUUUUGUUUUUUACUGGUGUGCGGUUUUUUAAACCCGGGUCGGACCAGAUUUUCCCCCUGUCUGGAACCACUCUUGGUUUUUGAAAAUGCUUGCAAGUUAUAAGAAGUGAAAUUCAACAAAUAACAGAAAAACAAUUUUCCUUAUUGUAUAACAUUCAUUUUAAUAAUGCUUAUCUUAUUCCAUAGCCUCACCUUUAAGCUCACCCGUCUCUCUAAAUCUUGUGCAAUAUCUUUUAUCAGCUUACUUAUAUUAAAAUCAAUCAUCUGAGAUAAGUCCCUAGGGAUAAUUAUACUCAGAUAAGCACAGAAUUUGGUUAAUAUAGUAAGUGCCAUUUUUAAAAUAUGCUAGAGUUUGUCUUGCAUUCCCCAUAAAUAUUUUUGACUUGGACCAAGAUAUUUUUUCCAAAAUCAAACAUUUCUAAUACUUUGGAACAUUUCUAGGAAAGCAUCUAAAUGCUACAACUACGGCUGUCAUGCCUUCAUCCUAUAAAAUUCUGGGAUUUAUAAUUAAUAGGGUACUUCUUACAAAGCAGUCAUUGUGAGAAAAUUGUAAUGCUGUAGUAUAGGGGUGAGGUAAAGGUAAAGGUUUCCCCUGAUGUUAAGUCCAGUCGUGAACAACUCUGGGGGUUGGUGCUCAUCUCCAUUUCUAAGCUGAAGAGCCGGCGUUGUCCAUAGACAUCUCCAAGGUCAUUUGGCCGGCAUGAUUGCAUGGAGCACCGUUUCCUUCCCACCGGAGCGGUACUUAUUAAUCUACUCACAUUUGCAUGUUUUCAAACUGCUAGGUUGGCAGGAGCUGGGGUUAACAUUCCGCUCCCGGGAUUUGAACCUGGGACCUUUUGGUCUGCAAGUUCAGCAGCUCAGUGCUUUAACACACUGUUCCACCAGGGGUAGUAUGUGUAAAUAUACACAUUGGGCUCUCCAACAGAUAAUGUCUAGACAAGCUUCAGAUACAAGGAUUCCAUUGAUCUCAUGAGAUUUAAAAUGCAUCUGUUUUGGUUACAUUGCAUAGAUUGCUCCAAGGUCACAUUUGAGUUUGGAAAGUUUAUGGGAUAUCUACAUUGCAGAAUUAUAACAGUUGGACACUGUAUUAACUGCCAUGUUUCAGCACCAGAGAUAUUUACCCUUCUCUAUCAGAGAUCUAUGGUACCCCAACAAACUACAGAUCCCAGGAGUCCACAAAAUGGAGCUAUGGCAGUUCAAGCAGUGUCAAACUGCUGUAAUUCUGUAGUGUGGGUGGCUUCUACAACUCAUAAAAAUAGCAGGAGAGAGAUAGAAAAAUUGCUUGAGGGUUCUGGAAGUUAUAGUAUCUUGUCCAAACUUGAAGGAUGAUAAAAAAAUGGUGCACAGAAUGUGGACACUUCUAUGAAGGAAGAUGUAGCCUAAGCCAUUGCUUAGUUAGAAUUAUAUAGUGGUGUUUUGGCCUACAGCUUCUAGAAAUCCCAGCCAGUUUACCAACAGUUAGGAUUUCUGGAUGUGGAUCUGGGGACCCACAGGUUGAGAACCACUGGAGUAAGACAUUGCAAAGCACUUCUAAUCUGUCUCCAGCAUAUAUUAAAAUUUCAGUGAUGCAAAAUUAUUCUAGUCAGUCUGACAAAUCACACAUCAAUGAUGAUGACCCUCAAGUGGAUUAUGAUCGAUCAUAGGGCAGCAUCCUUCUCAUGGUAUAUAUGUGUCUAGCCGGUACUGCCAAAAAAUGAAUUAAGGUGUGUUGGGAUUUUAAAAGUCAAGCAAUCAUAUUUCAGCUUCCCACUCCUUCCCCUAGUUCUAUUUUAAAAUAACAACACAGUUCUAUUAAUAUAGCCAUAAUAUAGCCAAACAUGGAUAAAUUACAGCAGUUUCCCAGUUUUUGUUAGAUGUAACAAACCCAUCUAUUACUGUAAAAACAAGAUGAAUAGCAGGAAAAAAGAAUUAGGAGUACUCUUCAUCAACCAAGACUGUCUAGAUCAACUUCACAGACACACAUACAUGGACAACAUUUCAAGGUUUUGAUUCUGAACAGCAAACACUGAUGGCUUUGUGACCUUCUGCAAUAGCAUUUUUCUCUUCUGGGAAUGAUUGAUUUUUCUCUGGCUGCUUUGUAGCGAUACAAACUGACCCUCGGCGUCAAAGUGUAAAGUGCCACCAAUAGCUAGGGAACAGAAAGGAUUUCAUCAGCUUUUAAGGAAUUAAAAUGGAAUGUUAGCCAUUGAAGGCUUUUGUGUGAGUUUCUGAAAAUAGCUGGUCUUGGUUGCUAGGGCCAGAAAUCUCAUUUUUCACCUUGGCUUAGCAAAUAUUACUGAACUGGGAGAUUUGAUAGGGGCAAGAUUGUCCAACAACCUUAGUAAUAAUUAUGUCUCCAAACAUUGAUUAAGUCUAUCAAUAAGAAAAGAAUAGUUUAUUAAUUUAUGAACAUGUUCCAUGUUUGUGGAAGACACAGGGAAAAUUCAAAACAUAACAACAUCAGAUAAACAUUUGGUAUAUCUAAGGGCCCUUCCAGACAGACCCUAUAUCCCAGGAUCUGAUCCCAGGUUUUCUGUUUAUCCCACAUUAUCUAGCAGUGGGGAUUUAAAGCAGAAAACCUGGGAUCAGAUCCUGGGAUAUAGGCCAUGUAUAAAAGGGCCCUAAGGAUGAAGUUAGGAUUUCUGGGCAAACUCUUUGGAUUAAUUGUUGGCAAUUGUUGGCCAGGAAUCAAUUUCACUCAGACACCUCCCCUUCUGUGCCCCACACUCACAUAUACACACCAAGCAAGACCAAUAAAUCUUGAUUUUCCUCUGCAUCCCUUCUCAAAAUGGUGGAACAAAGUUAUUUGUACAAAAAUGGUAUUUUUCAUAUUUUCAUGCCUGAUCGGCUUUCUAUGUAGUUUGAGGGAUGGCAGUUUUGAUCACCCAAGGGCCACAUUUUGUCCUCCCUUGCUUCUGAUGAUAAUGCAUAUUAUUUCACUUAUUUCAAAAGGAGUGAAAUAAUAUGCAUAAAUUUGCAGGACCCUGCAAAUGCAUCAGAGGCCCUAAUGUGUUAAGGGCCCUCCGGCGCAUUCUGCCAAGUUUUUUUUAUCCUGAUGUUCUGCUUUGACAGCAUCAUUGUUUAGCUCAGGGCUUCUUAAAGUUUUCCAUUCAUGACCCCCUUCGGCCCAAUCAUUUCUUACAUUGCCCUAGUAUAUGGGUGUAUACUAUAGGUAUAAAAAAUGGAGCAUUUACUGAUGAUAGUUUAAAUGGUUUGAAUAGCUGAUUUUAAAGUAAAUAUAACUGAUUUUAAUGUGUGUGUAUAUUUUUAAUAGGAGCCCUGGUGGCGAAGUGUGUUAAAGCACUGAGCUGCUGAACUUGCAGACUGCAAGGUCACAAGUUCAAAUCCUGAGAGCUGAGUGAGUGCCCGCUGUUAGCUCCAGCUUCUGCCAACCUACCAGUUCGAAAACAUGCCAAUGUGAGUAGAUCAAUAGGUACCGCUCCGGCAGGAAGGUAACGGUACACCAUGCAGUCAUGCCAGCCACAUGACCUUGGAGGUGUCUAUGGACAAUGCCGGCUCUUCGGCUUAGAAAUGGAGAUGAGCACCAACCCCCAGAAUCAGACAUGAUUGGACUUAACGUCAGGGGAAACCUUUUUACUGUAUUUAUAAUAAUUUUAUGUCCCGGCAUGGAGUGCUUGCCAUAUACAGGUAAAGGUAAAGGUUGCCAUAUAUAGUUUCUUUUAAACUAUAGGAAAGGAGAUUCCACCUGAACAUCAGGAAGAACUUCCUAACUGUGAGAACUGUUCGGCAGUGGAACUCUCUGCCUCGGAGUGUGGUGGAGGCUCCUUCUUUGGAGGCUUUUAAGCAGAAGCUGGAUGGCCAUCUGUUGGGGGUGCUUUGAAUGUGAUUUCCUGCCUCUUGGCUGUGGGUUGAACUGGAUGACCCAUGAGGUCUCUUCCAACUCUAUGAUUCUACAGUAGAGUCUCACUUAUCCAAGCCUCGCUUAUCCAAGCCUCUGGAUUAUCCAAGCCUUUUUUGUAGUCAAUGUUUUCAAUAUAUUGUGAUAUUUUCGUGCUAAAUUCGUAAAUACAGUAAUUACAACAUAACAGUAAUUACUGUGUAUUGAACUACUUUUUCUGUCAAAUUUGUUGUAUAACAUGAUGUUUUGGUGCUUAAUUUGUAAAAUCAUAACCUAAUUUGAUGUUUAAUAGGUUUUUCCUUAAUCCCUCCUUAUUAUCCAAGAUAUUCACUUCUCCAAGCUUCUGCCAGCCAGUUUAGGUUGGAUAAGUGAGACUCUACUGUAUAUGUUGUGCUCCACCCUGAGUCCCCUUCUGGGUGAGAAGGGCGGAAUAUAAUAAUAAUAAUAAUAAUAAUAAUAAUAAUAAUAAUAAUAAUAAUAAUAAAUCAGCAUUUGCAAGGCUUGCUUAACUGGUUGAUUUUCCUUGUUAUGAAGUACAGCCAAAGCAACUUCUGUAGAGUCCAUUGUAAACACUCAACAACAGAUUUGUGUAAAUGUCUAAAACAGCCACAUUCAGAAAACUCUUACUAUUGCCAAGGUAUUCCAGACCCUAACAGAGAGUUAAGGGGACUCUAUUUGGGGUUGGAACCCACAGUUUAAGAAGCAAGGAUCUAGGUUAGGCCCACAAUUUAUCUCACUGAACACCUUGUUUCCAUCAACAGUCAGCUAGGUACCACUGAGGAGCAUGAAAGUAGGUCUUGAAGGAGAGUAGAUGGAGUGUGGAAAAUGUCCACCAAGCAGAACAGAGCCUGGAGCUACUCCACACUCCUGUCCAUACUCUCCACCAACGGAGUAGUGUUAAGAUGAGAUGACUGCAGCUGUGGGAUUUGGAAGGUAAGGGCGCACUGUUCUCUUUAUCCUGGUUCACAGAGCUUUAAUGUACUGUACUUUGUCCUGCAUGACAAUCUGUUCAGGAUUAAAGUUACAGCACCCCCAUCCCAUAUGCAACUUUGCAGCCCCAAGAGAAUCUCCGCACAAAUUGUUUCCUGACUGAAUGGUGGCCUGUCUUGCUGAACUGUAUCAACUAAGUGAGCAAUCCUCUUGAGCAAUCGCUAUGUCUAUUUUAGCAUGCAUGUAUGUUUCUCUUAUAAAUAAGAGACACAGUAAGAAUGUAUGUCACAAAGGAAACUAUAUCUGAACCUGCAGAAAAGUCUCCCGUCUGAACCUGAAGUACUCAUAUCAACUCAAUUCAGGUCAGCUUUGCUACAAGUCAACUCAGCUGAUUCAUAUUGCAGCCACUUUGCUAGUAUGUUGCCAAAUGCUGGGGACAAAAUAUGAUCAAAAGUGAGGGUGUUUCAUUGUACUAUCAUUGAUGGUUUACCAUAUAAAGUUGAUCAGAGUUGGAGGGAGGAGGGAUUUCUUUCUCUAUAGCAUAACCAAAACUCACUCAUUUUCUUUGCCUGGCUCAAGAUCAGCUGUAUACCUCAAGUGCAUGAACAAGCAUACGGCAUACAAUAUUUGAACAGAGCAUCCAGGAAACCCUCUAUACAUGGAAGAAAUAUAAUGCCUCUUGGGUCACUAUCUGCUCAUGCAUUACAAGGGAUUAGUGUAUACUCACCUUGAACAGGGCAGGAAGGGGAAGACUCAGGUGAAUUUAUUUAAUAAUUGAUAGUGGAAAUGCACUCUAAUGAAAUUUCCAUCAUCCAGAAACAUGAACUCUACUUUAUAUUUAUCACCUUGUAUUUAUCUUCUAAAUAUACAACUUGGCAGGUUUGCCGAAUUCCCUCCUUAUCUCCACAGGCGGGACCAAUUGGCUUGUUCUGCGAUGACAGGAAGCUGAAGGAGAAGUCUUGAACAAAUCAUUCAAAGACAUUGAUAACAUUCAGUGGGUUCUUUAUCUUCUUUAGAACAGACAACUUUUCUGUUUAGGCAGGUUUUUUGUAUGAAUGAUGAUUAAUCUUAUGCCAUUACAUUUGUGCUGGUAUUUUCAUUUGCUAUUUAUUUAUUUAUCCUGUCAGAAGCAAACCGAGGGUACAAGUUGUAAUGUAUUUGAAAACAUAAACAAAGUUUUAAAACUUGGCAUUAUACUAAAUGUCCUUUGACCAGUAGCUGGCUACUUGGGGUGCCUCUGGUGUUGCUGUAAGAAGGUCCUCCAUUGUGCAUGUGGCAGGGCUCAGGCUGCAUUGUAGUAGGUGGUCUGUGGUUUGCUCUUCUCCAAACUCGCAUAUCGUGGACUCCAUUUUGUAACCCCAUUUCUUAAGAUUGGGUCUUCAUCUCGUGAUGCCAGAGCACUAUCUGUUCAGCACCUUCUAAGCCACCCAGUCUUCUGUAUGCCCAGGAAGGAGUCUCUCAUCCAACGUCAGCCACUGAUUGAUGUUCCAGUUUUUAGCCUGCCACUUCUGGACUCUUGCUUGCUGAGGUAUUCCUGUGAGUAUCUCUGUAGAUCUUAGGAAACUAUUUUUUGAUUUAAGGCAUUGGCCAGAGAUGUCACUGCCUUGGUCCUUUCAUUAUUGGCUGCUACUUCCCGGUGGAUGUCAGAUUGUGCAAUUUCAACUAAACAAUACAAUUUCUCCAGUGAUAUGGGAAAAUGCAACAUGUCUUACUAUGGGCCACAUCCACUGUUUUAACAUGGUGAGUUGUAUUCCACACUGGGCAUGCAUCUUCAGUAGCAAAGCGCAAGGGCAGAUGUCUUCACUGUAUCUGGUUGUGAUCCCCAGGUUGUGCCAGUCAGCUUUUGUAUGAUGUUAUUUCUAGCGUCCACUUUUUGCUUGAUAGUCAAGCAGUGCUUCUUGUAAGUUAGAGCAUGGUCCAGGGUAACUCACAAGUAUUUUGGUGUGUUGCAAUGCUCCAGUGGAGUUCCUUGCCAGGUAAUCCUCAGACCUCGAGAUGCUUGUCUGUUUUUAACGUGAAAAGCACACGCCUGCAUUUUAGAUGGAUUAGGGAUCUGCUGGUUUUCCCUGUAAUAGGCAGUAAGAGCACCUAAAGCUUCAGAGAGCUUCUGUUCAACUCUUUCAAAGCUCCCUGCUUGGGCGGUGAUGGCAUGAUCAUCAUUUACUGAUUCUUGUAAAAAAAAAUUUAAUGGUGAGAUGACUUGAGUGGUUUGGUCUAUCAUAGUAUGUUAUGGACUUGUCUCACCUUGAAAAAGUGGGAUGACCUGCUCAACUCCCACUAAUGGUGGUUUUACACAUACGAUAAUGCAGUUUGAGGCCAGUUUGAGACCAGGUUGUCCACAAAAUAUGCAACCCCUACAGCACUCAUCAAGCCAGAAAGCGUGUUUUAAAAUUCACUAAAAAGUCCAGAGCAGGUCAGAUAAUGCACUGCAGAAUAAUUCCCAUGCAGAGCUCAAAACCAGGGUGCUCUCAAACAGAGUGUAAAGAUACAGUUGUCCUAUUACUAACUAAUAUACAGAAUAAAACAGAAUAUAAUGUUUGAUGUAAUGCUGUAAACAGUUUGUAUUUGUGUAUUACUCAUGCGUCUGUAAGGAUUAUAAUUUGUCUGUUACCAUUGUUUUAUUCUGUAUAUUAGUUAGUAAUAGGACAACUGUAUCUUUACACGUAUUAUAGAUUUCUGUGUACUUUAGUGCUCUCAAACAGAGCUCAUAUGUGCAUCAGCCUGCAUUUUCCAGAGACUGUCUAGCUGUGGAUACUGUGGUUCCUUGGUUUGGUUCCAAUUCACAAUCAGUAGAUAUUGUGACCACUGUCCCAGCCUAAAACCGAUUCCUGAAGAGUUUGUGUGGCACUCCACAGCAAAACUGGUUUGUUUUAAUCCACUUCCAAACUGGAUUAUAUGAUGGAUGUACACUGCCAAACAGUGCGGUUUGAACUGCAUUGAACUGCAUUAUAGGGGUCUACAUUAUAAACAGCUGCUCUUCAUAUAUUUGGCAGUGCAGAUCCAGCUAUAGUAUUUGUGUUUAAUCACCCUAAGGCCCCGCCUACACUGAAAAUUUAAUGCAAUUUGAAACUAGUAUUGAAGAAGGUGGUCACUCUGCAGAUGAUUACAUAGGAAAUCCUUAAACCAGAUUGAGGCCCAGAUGGGGAUUACACAAAUCAUAGAACAUUGAUGCACAUUAGGGACUUUCUUUCACACACUUUUGUGUGAGUUUGAAGUUUGGCCAUCACAGUAUAAAACUAUCUUUAGAUUGGAUUGAAUGGUCAGUGUAGGCUACAUCUAGUCCAAGUGAAAUUUAUUUAUUUACUCCAUUUGUACCCCGUCUUUCUCACCUCGGAGAGGAUUCAAGGUGGCUUACAGAUACACAUAUCGGGCAUACAUAUAUAAGUAGUCUGCUCCAGAGCUGCCCCAUAUACAGCAGAGGAGUUCAAAACUACAAGUAUAGAAGCAUCCCAGAUUCCCUUUGCUGUUCUCAUAGCAGGCCGGACCAAUAGUGCAUUGGCACUUAUGGCCUGCCCUCCUGGGAACCAUUAUUGGCACUGUUGUCUCACCAAACAGAAACAACUCUCCAGUGGAGCCUUGCUAGUGACCUCAAUUCUGGUGAAGUCACAACAGAUGCCCAAACAUGUAAUUGCCAGAAGCAACAUCAUCAGCAAGGCUCUGCCAGAACACUGCUUCUGGCUAAUGAAACUGUGGUGGAGCUGUUUGACACGUGGAUAUUGCCCCAGAUCCAGCCUGAUCUAGCUAUCCAAAUGUCAAAAGCACUGGUCCUCACUUCAGAGUUUCCUAGAUUCUCUGGAGUAGCAGGAGCAACCUGCAAUUCCUCUUGUGCUGAAUUAACAGCUGGAAGCAGUGCUUCUGUUACAGAACCAGCUAUGCAUCAUAUGGACUGUUCUUAGUGGAUUCAAGAUGACUGUGCUUUAUUUUUCUGGUGUAGAUGUGAGCAUAGACCACAAAUCUCUGGGGAUUCACAAGCCACUGGUGAUUUGAAAUCAAGAAGCAUAGCAUAAUAAAAAAAAAUACAAGGCAGGUUUGACAUAUACACACACACAUGUAAAGUGCUAUAAAUCAAAAGGUUUUAGUACAGUGUUCCUUCACUUAUCGCUGGGGUUAGGUUUCAGGACCACCCGCAAUAAGUGAAAGACCAUGAAGUAGGGACACUAUAUUUAUUUUUUUAGUAGUUAUACACUAUUUUAAGUCUUUACCAACCAAUCAUGUGUUGAUAAAUCACCUCCUUCUCCUCCCAUAGCCGCUUGGGCUCCUUUUCUCUCUAUUCGGCUUCUCCUUCCUCCCUUCCUUAGGCUUUAAAUUGUAAUUUUUUAUGAUUUAUAAUAGUCCUUUAGAGUUUAUUGAAAAACCGUGAAACAGCGAAUCCAUGAAAAGUGAACCGCAAAGUAGUGAGGGAACACUGUAUACAAAAGUUAAGAAAAGGAGAAUUGAAAAUGUUCCCUUAUAUGAAGACCUUAUAAACAGUUGUUUAUAAUGGUGACAUCCAUAUUUAUUCGGUCCUUCAUCUGCCCAUUCACAUGCAAUAUAUGGGAACAUGCCCAAUCAGUAUACUUUAUAAUUAGACAAGUGGAAGUUCCCAACAUCUUACUCCCUGUGAGACAUGACACUUUUCUCCCAACCGCUGAGCUGGGGAAGGGUGUGUGUGUGUGCAAGGAUGGCUUGCAUGGGUCUAUAGAGGUAAUUCCCAAUUGCACAUACAUGUUAUAUGAAUGGGACAGAUGUGUAAAUUAUGAAUGUGGCAUACAACAUGACAUCUUAUUUGGUCACUCAGCCUCAGUAAAUCAAGGGAGAAAAACAUUCCAGCUUUCUGACAGAUUGGCUACCUCAUCAGAUGGGCUGCUGGAAUUGCCACACUUUGGGGCAAAUUCAGCCAUGCCUGUCGGGGGCUGUGGGGAGCCCAUCGCCCCAUGUCCCACAUUGCCCAACUCACCUAUCACCACGUCUCAUGGGGAGAAGCGUUGGCAGCCCAGCUUCCUCCCCAUUGAUUUCAGUUGAACACAGGAAGCCUUCAAUGUUGCAGGUGUGGCGGCAUGUGCCAGUUUGCCUUCCUUUUACCACAGAGCCUCACUGGGAGUAGCUGUGCAUCAUAGAAGAGGAACCAGCACAUGUCGCCAAUUUUAUUCCCAUCUGAUGAAGUCCACAUGCCAGUAAGGUAAUUCUCAAGAUCCUGCAAGGUAGAUUCCAACAAUACAUGGAGUGAGAGUUCCCAGGUGUACAAGCUGGAUUUAGAAAAGGCAGAGGAACGGGAGACCAAAUUGCCAAUAUCCGCUAGAUAAUGGAAGAAUGUAGAGAGUUUCAGAAAACAUCUUUCUGUUUUAUUGACUAUUCUAAAGCCUUUGACUGUGUGGAUCAUAAUAAAUUGUGGCAAGUUCUUGGUGGUAUGGGGAUACCAAGCCAUCUUGUCUGCCUCCUGAGAAAUCUCUUUAAUGACCAAGUAGCAACAGUCAGAAUAGACUACGAAACACAGAACAGACUGGUUCAAGAUUGGGAAAGGAGUACAGCAGGGCUGUAUACUUUCACCCUACCUAUUCAACUUGCAUGCAGAACACAUCAUGCAAUGUGUGGAGCUGGAUGAAUCGAAGGCUGGAGUUAAAAUUGCUGGAAGAAACAUUAACAACUUUAGAUAUGCAGGUGAUACCACUUUGAUGGCUGAAAAUGAGGAGGAACAGAGGAGCCUUAUAACCAAGGUGAAAGAAGAAAGUGCCAAAGCUGGGUUGUAGAUAAACAAAAAAACAAGAUGGCAACCAGACUGAUUGAUAACUGACAAAUAGAGGGAGAAGACAUGGAGACAGUGAAAGACUUUGUAUUUCUAGGCAUGAAGAUUACUGCAGACGCAGACUGCAGCCAGGAAAUCAGAAGAUGUUUACUUCUUGGGAGGAGAGCAAUGACCAAUUUCGAGAAAAUAGUGAAGAGCAGAAACAUCACACUGGCAAUGAAGGUCCACAUAGUUAAAGCAAUGAUAUUCCCCGUAGUAAGCUAUGGAUGAGAGAGCUGGACCAUAAGGAAGGCUGAGCAAAGAAGAGAGACGCUUUUGAACUGUGGUGUUGGAGGAAAAUCCUGAGAGUGCCUUGGACCACAAGAAGAUCCAACCAGUCCAUCCUCCAGGAAAUAAUGCCCAACUACUCACUGGAGGGAAGGAUAUUAAAGGCAAAGAUGAAGUAUUUUGGCCACAUCAUGAGGAGACAGGAAAGCUUGGAAAAGAUCACGAUGCUGGGGAAAAUGGAAGGAAAAAGGAAGAGGGGUUGACCAAGGGCAAGAUAGAUGGAUGGUAUCCUUGAAGUGACAAACUUGACCUUGAAGGAGAUGGGGGCGGUGACGGCCGACAGGGAGCUCUGGAGUGGGCUGAUCCAUGAGGUCACGAAGAGUCAGAAGCGACUGAACGAAUAAACAACUGAUAAAGUCAUAAUACAGAUAGAGUGAGAACUUGAGUUGCUAUUGUUAAUUCUUUAGGUUAAAAGACAAGUCAUAAGGAGAUGGAAGAAUCUAGACGACAACCCUGAAGCAUAUUUUCUGAAAGAGACAGAAUGUGGUGGAAACCCACUUGAGUUAAAACAUCAACUUCUCUAUUACUCAUAUGUAGUCAAGGCAUUUUGCUAGUAGAAACAAACACUCAAAUGGCAUUUCCCAUGGCAGUGAAAAUACAAUAAUGAAACACUAACUUUCUGCUCUUCAGUAGUUCAUUUUACUCUGUUUGGUAGCUGUGUCUGCCCUGCUAGUAUUUGGCAGAACUGCCCAUUCUUUUUAAUAGAGGGAAAAACUCAACUCUUCAAGAGCUGAGGUGUAAGGUUAUUCAUUUUUCUAAUGAGUUCCUUUGGAAUCUGUUUACUUUCUGAAGUAACACAUUGCACCUCUGAUAUAGCUGUGGCUACAAUGCACUACUUUUCAGUAGUCUGCCAAUAACUGAAAGUGUGUGCAAAGAUAAUAAUAAUAAUCACCUUAAAGUCAUUGGUUCAGCCUUCUUGAGAAGCAGAGUAAAUUACAAGCAGAUGAUGAGCAACAGCACAAAAAUCAUGCAGAGUAACAGAGGAAUAAAGCAAUCUAAGUCUUCUUCAUAAAAACAUAGGAAAUAGUUUUGCUGUUUUGAGAAAUAAUGUUUCUUUUCCUUUAUUAUUGUUAAUUUUGUUUUGAAUUAUGUCAACUGCCUUGGGAACAGAGAAAGAAGGUGGUGGAGAGAUACUUAAAAUUAAUGAAUAAACUAAGUCUUUAGCUGUGAA